UUUCGCCGGUCAGUCGGAAAAAGGGGGCUGGACUCCGGCCAGUUUUCUUCCUACAAAACCCCACAGACGGAGGACAAACUCUAUCGGAACACAAGAACGAACACUUAAAGUAGUUUAUACAGUGUAAAAAAACACUGUACAAAGGUUAAGAAACAGUUUCAUGUCAGCGUUUGUAUCCCCGCUGCGGUGCAGCCUCUGAGGACAAGUGGCGAACAUCAUUGCACGAACGUCGUCUACAGAACUGACCGAAAAGUUAUUUUAAAAGUUUCCAAGAAAACGACCGUACACCCAGACGCCAACAUUUACCUAAAAGAAAGUACUUCUGAACUGAAGCUGUUGUUGGGAGCCUGAAGAUCAGAGCUGAUGUUGGUGAUGUCAAAGGCACAGAUGUACCGUCACAAAAGGUUUCUGCUUUGCUGCUCUAUUGUGCAGCUUUGAAGUCAUGGGAGUCGGGACCGUGAAGCUCCUCGGACUUCCUUGCCCAGCUUUGCCGGAAUGCUUGUCAUUCAGGACAGGAAACAGGGAGCGGCACGACUCUGAUUGGCCGGAUUCCUUGACCCAGCGACCUUGACAUGGCUGUCCCACAGGGGCCGGGGGCCACACAUACAGAAGCAAAAGGAAAAUGCUUUUUUUUUCAACGUUUUAGGGGAAGAAAUGGUGUAGAGAGGAAGCAGAAACGGAAAGGAGUUCAUUCCGUUUUUUAAACACAAGAUGGAGCCAAAGUAUCAUUAAAAGAUUGUGUUGUGAAAACACGUGAGGUCUGGUGACGAGGCUCAGCUUCCUGUGGCGUCUGAACUUUCAUCACCUCAUCUGCAGGAGGAGAGAGAAAGAAGAGAGGAGAAUAUUGUGAAAUACCUUUUUUUAAAGGCACAGCGGGAAAGCUGCAGAGCAUGCUGGGAGGAAAUGUAAGACGUGAGGACGAGUAGCACAUGGAGACACCAUCUGUUGUCGGGCAACAAAACCUGAAAAUAGACUGAACGCAGACACACACAAAAUGUUUUCUUUUCCUGGACGUUUCUCAUCAAAUUAAGGCACAUAGAGAUUUUUUUUCACUAGUAUAUUUUUUAAAAAUCUAAACUUUUUGUGUCGAUGUUAGUCAGAUUUUGAAAGAAAGUUUUGUAAAAAUCGUUUUCAAAAUUCAAUCUUUUCCAGCACGUUUCUCAUCAAAUUAUGGCACGUAGAGAACAUUUUUUGAAAUUUUUUCAUUUGAAUUUUUUGUCAAAAUCUGAACUUUAUGUAAUUUUUAGUCAAAUUUGGUCAGAUUUUAACAAAAAUGUUUGGAAUUUUUUUUAAGAAAUUUUAUCUUUUCCUGCAUGUUUCUCAUCAAAUUAGGGCACGUAGAGAACAUUUUAAGAAAUGUUUUUCUAUAAAAUUUUCUGUCACAAUGUGAA